AACACUGUUAACCUGCGGUACCUGCGGAAGGAUCAUUACCGAGUACCGGGUCUCCGGGCCCUUACUCCCACCCUUUGUGUACCUACCGAUUUUUCGUUGCCUCGGCGGGGUCGAUCCCUAGGGCCCCUGGCCCGUGGGGGACCCGCCGGGGGGACACGCCAAAACUCUUGUAAACGGUGACGUCUGAGAAACAUACAAACUAGUCAAAACUUUCAACAACGGAUCUCAGAUCGGAAGAGC
rnacentral:misc_RNA from 1 species